rnacentral:rRNA from 1 species
CUGGGAGGACCAUCUCCUAAGGCUAAAUACUCUCUAGUGACCGAUAGUGAACCAGUACCGUGAGGGAAAGGUGAAAAGCACCCCGGAAGGGGAGUGAAAUAGAACCUGAAACCGUGUGCUUACAAGUAGUCAGAGCCCGUUAAUGGGUGAUGGCGUGCCUUUUGUAGAAUGAACCGGCGAGUUACGAUUUGAUGCAAGGUUAAGCAGUAAAUGUGGAGCCGUAGCGAAAGCGAGUCUGAAUAGGGCGUUUAGUAUUUGGUCGUAGACCCGAAACCAGGUGAUCUACCCUUGGUCAGGUUGAAGUUCAGGUAACACUGAAUGGAGGACCGAACCGACUUACGUUGAAAAGUGAGCGGAUGAACUGAGGGUAGCGGAGAAAUUCCAAUCGAACCUGGAGAUAGCUGGUUCUCUCCGAAAUAGCUUUAGGGCUAGCCUCAAGUGAUGAUUAUUGGAGGUAGAGCACUGUUUGGACGAGGGGCCCCUCUCGGGUUACCGAAUUCAGACAAACUCCGAAUGCCAAUUAAUUUAACUUGGGAGUCAGAACAUGGGUGAUAAGGUCCGUGUUCGAAAGGGAAACAGCCCAGACCACCAGCUAAGGUCCCAAAAUAUAUGUUAAGUGGAAAAGGAUGUGGCGUUGCCCAGACAACUAGGAUGUUGGCUUAGAAGCAGCCAUCAUUUAAAGAGUGCGUAAUAGCUCACUAGUCGAGUGACACUGCGCCGAAAAUGUACCGGGGCUAAACAUAUUACCGAAGCUGUGGAUUGUCCUUUGGACAAUGGUAGGAGAGCGUUCUAAGGGCGUUGAAGCAUGAUCGUAAGGACAUGUGGAGCGCUUAGAAGUGAGAAUGCCGGUGUGAGUAGCGAAAGACGGGUGAGAAUCCCGUCCACC